rnacentral:rRNA from 1 species
UAAAGUAAAACCUGCUCCAUGAAAUUUAAAUAGCCGCAGUUAACCUGUGCUAAGGUAGCAUAAUAAUUAGCUUCUUAAUUAGAAGAUAGAAUGAAAGGUUAAACAAGAGCUUUCUGUCUCACUUAUAUAACCUAAAGUUUAUUUUUAAGUAAAAAAGCUUAAAACCCUAUAAGGGACGACAAGACCCCGACAAACUUCUCUUUUAGUUGGGGAAACUAAUUAACUAUAAUUUAAUUUUUCUACUAAACUUAAACAUUAAAAAAAGACUAGUUACUGCGGGGAUAACAGCGCAAUUUUUUUUUCAAGUCCUCAUAUAAAAAAAAGAUUACGACCUCGAUGUUGAAUUAACCUAUCUUUCUUUAGUGCAAAAGCCAAGAAAGUCUGGUCUGUUCGACCCUAAAAGGUU